AGUAAAUAAAAUGGUGGUGGAAUCUGAAUCUACGGAUCCAAGUAUUUACUGGGCCGCCUCCAACGACGGGCCUUCUCCUUCAAAAAAAGUCGCUAUGGGCCUAAGAAAGUUUUAGGCAAACGGGCCCGUCUCUCUCGGGGGACUCCGGCGGUCCGCCCACCACCGAAAAUCGGACGACUUGGCAACCGGCGGCGGCGGUCGCCCUCGCCCUCGUCCUCCAGACCUUGCGGCGGCGUACUCCGCCGAGCUCCAUCUCACGCCCGCCGCUUUCCAUCGCUGUCUUUGUUGCAGUCCCUAGUCGCUAAACCCUGACACGGCGACUCGAGCCCGUAGGACAGCCACCUCCGCCGUCACCCCUCGAGCCCUCCACUCGCCCCGGUCCGGUGUGGCUGCACACGGAGGUGGAUCUGAUUCAUCCCGCGAGGUGAUGCUGGUAUGGCAGGAACAGUUGUAUUUGCUUCCCUGAAGUAUUCAGAGCUGCUCCCAUGACAAGCCUGGUGAUGCCGUGAAGGGAAAUAAGCUCUUCAAGCCCUUUAGCAACAUCCUCGUUUUCUAUUAUUAGUUUCUCGCAACUGACCUAUGAAAGAAUAAGGACAAUCCAGUGAAGUCUGAACUCUUGAGCAGUAUUUAUCAUCAUGGAAGAAUUUUUUACUGUACUAUGGUAAAAAAUUAUGGUCUUAAAACUGCUGUCGGUUUCAUGGCUUUAGAGCAUGUAUGCCUGUUUCUUUCAAUGCAUAAUAGUUCCGAAAGUUUUCUCAUGCCGACAAUGAUGCAGCAGAGACGAUUUAUCAGGCUUUCAGAGGAAUGAACCAUGAGGCACGAAUUCAGAAGAUGGAAAUGCCUUUUGGGACAUGUGAAAACAAGUUUAGCAGCUCAGCUAACAAAGAACGAGCAGGUAAGAAAAUCAAGGUUCGUUUACUCAAAAUGACUACAAUUUGCAUGACGAAACAAGAAAAUCCCUUUCAGUUGUGCUGUGUGAGUAGCUGUGUACAGGGUUUGCUUGCUCUCCAGACUCCAGAGUGAACAAACCAUAUCCAUUUUUUCGAGAAACCGCAAGCGGCGGCGGCAUUCAGGUUCAUGGACACAUUAAUUGAAAUUCGUCAGGUAAUCGUUCAAACAACAUGAGUACUAAGGAAAGCUUACUCAUGGGGAUCAUCUGCGCGGGGCAGUGGACGUGGGCGACGACGACCCCGGCGCCGUCCUUGGCCAGGUUCUCCAGCGCCCACAGCAGGGUGCUCUUCCCGUGCCUGGCUUCCUCGGGCAC